AGAGGCUGUGGCUCAGUGGAAGAGCAUCUGAUUUUCCUGCAGCAGGUCCCAGGUUCAAUCCCUGAUAUCUCUU